rnacentral:misc_RNA from 1 species
UCCGAGCGUCAUUUCAACCCUCAAGCACAGCUUGGUCUUGGGCUUCGCUGCUAACCCAGCGGGUCUUAAAAUCAGUGGCGGUGCCGUCGGGCCCUGAGCGCAGUAAUUCUUCUCGCUAUAGGUCCCGGUGGAUACUGGCCAUCAACCCCCAAUCUUCAAUGGUUGACCUCGGAUCAGGUAGGGAUACCCGCUGAACUUAA